GAAAUAUCAAGCAUAUCUCCAAGAGAAACAAAAUAAAGAUGAAGAUCUGGGACGUCAGAUCAUAAAACAGGCAGAGCUUCACCAGGCGGCAUGAUUUUAGGAGGGUCACCACAGGCUGGACUGUGGAUUGUCAGUUUCUUGGGGCACCCAGAAGUGGGGAUGCUUAGAGAAUAAGUCUCAUAUGUAUAAACAAGAACACCAAGGUUGCUUCAUGCACAUGAAAGCAGGAUAAGGGAAUGGGACACUUCAAGCUUCAAGUAUGGCUUGAUGCACCAUCUUCCUUCCCAUGGCCUCUUUUCUCCUCUCUGGAGACUGAAAUAUAUGUUCUGCUUGAUUUAGGAUGGGGUUGAAGAAGCACAGACAAAUUCUGACUCCUUGCUGACCAUCCUCUGCAGAUGGAGUGAAACUCAAUUGAUUAGUUUCUAUUGUGACCCUCACAUUGCAGCCCUGCUUCUCCAGGUCCUCUUGCAAAUUCCCUAGGAUGCUCCUCAGAUUGACAUGGCCAGUCCUGUGGUUUCUCAGAGAAUGAAAGACAAUUUUGUGUGGAUAUAGGUAGUUUACAUGUAAGGGGUGAGUUAUAUCCUCUUAUUACCAUAUUAUUUGUUGAAGAUAGGAAUCCACGCACGUCAACCAAGGUACCGACUACAAUAUACUGCCGACCAUAAGUUUAGUGAUGAGGCUUUUAAAACAAAUGAAAGUAGGGGGCACAAUAAUUCCUUUAGAAGAAGACUCACAACUGGCAUACAGACAUUUGAUGAAGCUUGACCAAAUUAACAUUAAUUCAAAUGUUCAACAAUCAUUUAGAAGCAAAACAGACAGCACUAGGCCAGCAAACCUAGCCAUCUCCCUUUUCACUUCUCAAUCAAGACUUCAAAUUAUAUCAAGGAGAAAGUCUCUGUGUGAACCUUUGGCAUCUGCCUAGCACUGCCUAAUUACCUUUUAUCAUUAUGCAAUCCAACUAGAUAAUGCCAUCUCCACAGAACCCAUACAAUCAUCCACGGAUGCCCUAUCAUAACAGUGCAAUAAGUUGAAUUACUGCCCAGCAAUUAUUCACCACUUUCAUGUAUUCUGUAUCUUUACCUUGUGGCUUUGUGGUUCCUCCCACUGAAGGUGGAGUAUACCUCCCCACACCCUGACUUUGGGUUUGACCCUGAGGUUAGCUGAACCCACUGGGAUGAUAGCUGACAUGAUCCAAGCAGAGGCUGGGUCUGCACUUGUGCCACUGUGCGUGUCUCUUGUACUUCUGUCAACACCAUGAAAAAAGAGCAACUUCUGGCCAGCUGUUGCUCCUCAGCCUGAGGUUCCAGACCAAGCAUAUGAGGAUCAGACCUGAGCACAACUCGCAGUGAGGAGCCAAACCCAGAUGGACACACGUUUUGAGGUGGAGCUAUUGAGGCAAGGCCAGACUAGGUCAGCCAACCCCAGCCAGCCCCAGACAUACUGUGAGUUACAUCUUACAGGGUCACAGCCAAGAUUUCCAGAGACAAGGACACCUGUGGAGCUAUCAUUAUACACACCACUGUGAUUAAACUUCAGCUCACAUAGAAGCAACACGCACUGCUUUUGCCCGACUUCUGUUUUUGCAGUUGGUAUGUUGAUGAGUGGGGCCUUAUGUGGGGAAGAAAAAGGCCCAUUGGUAUUAGCAUUCAGAGGGGAGAAAAUGCUACUCGUUCUGUUCUGUUCCUAUAUAUUCUCAUUUACAAGCAUGCUAUGGAUAAGAUAUGCCUUUGUUUAGCAAUUUUGAAAGUAGGCAUCAUUAGACUGAUAAAAGACCACAGUCAUAUUUUGUUUGGCUAGUACAAGC
rnacentral:lncRNA from 10 species